AAAGAAUUAGUUAAAUUAAAUAACAUUAAUUUGUCAAGUUAAAAUUGCUUAAAUAGUAUUCUUUU
rnacentral:tRNA from 1 species